rnacentral:rRNA from 1 species
GUGGGGGAUAUUGCACAAUGGGGGAAACCCUGAUGCAGCGACGCCGCGUGAAGGAAGACGUACUUCGGUAUGUAAACUUCUAUCAGCAGGGAAGAAGAUGACGGUACCUGACUAAGAAGCCCCGGCUAACUACGUGCCAGCAGCCGCGGUAAUACGUAGGGGGCAAGCGUUAUCCGGAUUUACUGGGUGUAAAGGGAGCGUAGACGGUGAAGCAAGUCUGAUGUGACAACCCGGGGCUCAACUCCGGGAUUGCAUUGGAAACUGUUUUACUUGAGUGCUGGAGGUGCAGGCGGAAUUCCUGGUGUAGCGGUGAAAUGCGUAGAUAUCAGGAAGAACACCGGUGGCGAAGGCGGCUUGCUGGACAGUAACUGACGUUGAGGCUCGAAAGCGUGGGGAGCAAACAGGAUUAGAUACCCCGGUAGUCC